ACAAGCGGUGGAGCAUGUGGUUUAAUUCGAUGAUACGCGAGGAACCUUACCUGGGCUCAAAUGUAUGUUGACGUAUUCUGAAAGGGAUACUUCUUCGGACAAUAUACAAGGUGCUGCAUGGUUGUCGUCAGCUCGUGCCGUGAGGUGUCGGGUUAAGUCCCCAUAACGAGCGCAACCCCUAUCAUUAGUUGCCAUCAGGUCAAGCUGGGGACUCUAAUGAAACUGCCUACGCAAGUAGUGAGGAAGGUGGGGAUGACGUCAAAUCAGCACGGCCCUUACGUCCAGGGCUACACACGUGCUACAAUGGCCGAUACAGAGGGCAGCUACCUGGUGACAGGAUGCAAAUCUCCAAAGUCGGUCUCAGUUCGGAUCGGAGUCUGCAACCCGACUCCGUGAAGUUGGAAUCGCUAGUAAUCGCGCAUCAGCCAUGGCGCGGUGAAUACGUUCCCGGGCCUU
rnacentral:rRNA from 1 species